AUCUACUCAGAGUGCUUGGGUGGAGGUUUGUGUCCGGGGCCGUGGGCGUUCGUUUCGUGCGUGCGUUCUCGUGCUUUGGCGCUUCCUCUAUUGCUCACCUCUGUGCUCUUACUUGGAGGAGGUGACUUCUGUGUCACCUUGAGUAAAUCAUGGUGCUCACAGCAGUCGUGCGGGCCCUGUGCCCUGUGAACAGUCUAUGCGGACUGAAUUGGUUUUGCAAGGCAUGACGAAACAUGACGUCGCUGCUGGUCGCGAGUGUGAGGGCGCAGCUCUCGUGGUUGCGUCGAGCGGUUUGCCAGUAGUGACGUAAUGAUCAAUGGAGACGGUAGCUGGCAUUGGUAUUGCGCGGCGAGAGGUGAAAUUCUGCGACCCCCGCAAGACCUCCUAAAGCGAAGGCGUCUGCCAAGGACGUGUUCACCAAUCAUGAACGAAAGUCAGAGGAUCGAAGGCGAUCAGAUACCGCCCUAGUUCUGACCCUAAACGAUGCCAACCAUCAAUCCGCGUGAGCACCCUAUCUAACGGGCUCGGCGGGCAGCUCCCUUCUUCCGGGAAACCAGAGUUUUUGGGUUCCGGGGGGAGUCUGGUUGCAAAGCU
rnacentral:rRNA from 2 species